rnacentral:rRNA from 1 species
CGCGUAGGCGGUUUUUUAAGUCAGAUGUGAAAGCCCGGGGCUUAACCCCGGAAGUGCAUUUGAAACUGGAUGACUUGAGUAUGGGAGAGGGAAGUGGAAUUCCUGGUGUAGAGGUGAAAUUCGUAGAUAUCAGGAGGAACACCGGUGGCGAAGGCGACUUCCUGGACCAAUACUGACGCUGAGGCGCGAAGGCGUGGGGAGCAAACAGGAUUAGAUACCCUGGUAGUCC